rnacentral:lncRNA from 1 species
GAAGCUCAGGUGCAUGUGAUACCUACUUCCCUGAUAACCUUCAAUUACAACACAUCAAUAAUGCACCACGUAGUACAUCCCGGUGGGUGACGCUAGAUGUAAACAACACGCCGCCCCACCUGCUGGCAGCCGCAGUGUUUUCUUCAAUAUUUCUGCUUGGCUAACAGUCCACGAUGCGUCAGUUAAAAGGAAAAGUAAAAGAAACUGCAAAGGAGAAGAAGGAGAGGAAGAAGGAAUUUAUGGAAAAUAAGGAUAAGGCAUUCACUGUGGCCCUCCCAGUGUUAGGAGCAGUGUUCCUUCUAAUUGCCAUUUUGGUUUACUUCAAGACAAGACCUAAGGAGAUAGAGCUGUGAGAGCUGUUCUAUAUGUUGCUGACCAUCAAAGAUAUUGAUAAAAGCAGAUCAUAAUUAUAAUGUGUGGAUUCUAGUGUUGGUAAAUAUUAUUUUAUUAUAAAAAAACAUGUUUCACUGCUCCAUUGUUAACUAUGGUUAUAGAGCUAUUUAGAAGAUAUAUUGUUAUUAUAUUGAUAAUGAAUAGCAUUUACUGCAUCCCCUCCAUACAAGAAAAAGGGGCACUUACAGGUACUGUAUAGUACAGUAUUUAUAUAGUAUUUCAAGAAUUUUGCAUGAAACAAAUGCAUUUUAGAUAUGAAAUUAAAAGAAAAUGUAACAGAUCAAGGUUUUGAGUACAAAUGUGUAGUCACUCUGAAUUAGCAGAAAGAAAUUCAAAUGUUCAUAAUAAAAGGGUAUGUUUAUGACACAUUUAAACAUAAGAUUUCUUUCAGGUGGGUACAGUGCUGUGAUACGAUUAAUCAGGUGCCUUUUUCAGAGAUAUUCCAUAUAUUGAAAGUACAAGGUGCUUUGAUAAGUACUGUAUUAAAAUAAUAUCAUUUGAUAUGUGAUGCAAGUUACGACUGUUAUUUCAGUAUUAGAUCAGUGAAAUUCGUGUUCAUUGAAUUUAACGCACUGAUGUUGCACGCUGUCAUAAAUAUGCUUCAUUGUAUAGAAAGACAAAACAUGGCAGCAUGUAUCUCCAGCUGUUGUACAAAGUUUUUGCUUAGAGUCGGUUAAUCUGUUACAUGAUUGGAUUGCUAGACUCAUUUACAACAAGAUUCAGGUGCCUUAGCCUUUAGCAUACAUGACAGUGUGUCCUAUUAAGGGUAGUAUAUAAUACAACAGAUACAGGGGUAUCUGGCUAUUUCGCAUCUUAUAUAUCAUUUGGCAUUGCUACAGUACUGUACAGUGCUACCAUUACUGGAUUAUGUUUACAAUGUAUUAAACAAUUUUUGAAUAGGCCAUUUAUAAUUUUAUAUCAAUAUUCAGUUGUAAAUUAAAAAAUACAGCAGUACAAUACUAUUCUAAAACACUGCGAAUGCAAAUUUUCUUGAUACUUAUAAAUACUACCUCUCAUUCAAGAAAGUGAAACCUUAUACUGUAACAGGGUUUUGAGUAAUGUACUGUACAGUAUUACAAAAAUGAUACUUUUAUAUACAAAUACAACUACUGGCAUGGGUUGGUUCUCGGUGUCUAUUAUAAUCAUGACUUCUUUUCUUUAUGGUUCAAGUUUAGAUUUUAUUUCAGGUUUGCUGCCGAUUUUAUGAUUUUGUUGUGUGGAUGUUGAAAUCCUUUUUGUAGGAAGUUUUAACUAAUGUUUGACAAAUUACUUAUGUGGUUUAUCCUGGUAUGUAUAGUCACAAAAAAGGAGAAGAUAAAAAACCAUUACAGGUACAGUGUUAAUUUCUUGGGAUUUUCUUAUGAUCUCGGAGGAAAAACAUAUCUUAAAAUCAUAUCUUAUAGUGCUUCAGUUUUAUUAUUCAGCUCAAAGGAGAAUAACUGUACAUGCAAGUAGUACUUAUUGUCAUAGUGUGUAAAUGCAACUGAUUAUAUUUAUUUUUAAUUGGCUCAUGUGUGUUUGUUGUUUACUCCUGAGAUAGGUUCUGUUUCCUCUUACUCAUUGCCAGGAGUCAGGGUGUUUGGUUGGUUUUACAGGUUAAGGAUAAAUUGGUCCCCAGGUUAUUUUUGUAGUGGGUGUAGGUAAGCUUUUGUGACCUCUAACUAUAAUCUGAUUUUCUAGUUGAAAUAAUUUUGGAUGAUCUUCCAUUUUCAUUACUGCAUUGUACUGCCGAGAGUAAAGGUUGCAUGGAUUUAAAAUUAGUUUCACCACUUACCAGUAUAGUAUAUAUUUUUUCAGCAUUAUCUCAGACAUGGAUAGCAUUUUUGUAUUUUUUCACUGAUAAUGAGAUACAGUAUCAUAAAUAAUUUGGUAAGCAGUACUGUACUGUAACCACAAAUGUACCAAAAAGCACUAUGAGAUUCAUAUGUAGGCCAUUAAUAUGAUAUAUUGUAUUCUUUCUUAUUUCUUCAAGUGUCAGUAUUGUUCUCAUCAAAUUGGUUUUCAAUAGAGAAGAGUAACUACUGUACUGAAGGUAAUUUUGGUUUGAGAAUUUUAAGUGAAAGGGUUUUAGAUAUUAAAAAAAAAUUGUAUACCUGUACAGGAUAUACAGUAUGGACACCAAGGAAUACUGUAUCUAAUAUGGAAGUAUAACUAUAUAAGAAUACAUGUAGCGUGAUAUUCCUUGGUAGACAGUUUCAGCAGAAACCAGGAGGAGACUAGACGCCUUCAGAAUUUGGUGCUACAGUAAAGGAAAAUGAUGGAAAACAAAUUAAAACAUAGGACUAGUUAGAUCAAUGAGAGAAAUCCCAGAAAUCUAUAGCAUAAGGAAAAUUGGACACUGGUUUUAUGCUAAGGGAUGAAAGGAUGAAGGUAGAGGUAUUAAUGAGUAAAAUUGAUAUUAGAAGGGUCAGCAAAAGGCAGAGAGUGGGAUGGAUGAAUGAAAUUAAAAGCUGGGUCCCCAGAAAGUUAAAAAUUCAGGAAAGAUUCAUAGAGACUGAGAAUGUUGGAGUAGAGGGUCUUGGUUACCUACCCUCAGUUAUGGGGAUGACACCUUAAUUGAUAACGGGCUUCCUUUUUAAAUUUUUAAAUGUGGAAUUUUAUAUACAGUAAUACCUGUAGUAACAUUUGUAGAUUCAUUGUACAAUCUGGAUUGUAUAUUUUAAACCACAUAUCAGUGGAAGGUCAUUUGGCUGGGUAUCUUUGUUUUCUUAAAACAUAUGAUUUAGUCCUGUUGCCUUAUCAAAAAGGAUUGGUUUACAAUUUCACGAGGCAGUUGAGGUAAAAUGAACUGCAGAUGCAAUGUUGAAAUAAUGAAGUAUACAGUAUUUUUACUUCAGGAAAUUAGUAGAAUACUGUACAUUAUAUGGUACUGUACUGUAAUACAAAUAUUAUUAAUUUUUUUUUUUUUUUUUUUGCAUAUGUACAGUUGUGCAGUGUUACCUUAAGAGAAAAAAAUACUGUAUUCCAGUAUUUGAUUCUUCAUUGAGACGAGUGCAAAAUAAAGUAUUUGCGAUGUUUGGAUUACUAUUACUUGAUACUGGUACUAAUUUCAUGAUGUAUUAUUUUGACCUUGUGUUGAUAUCCAUAAAUCUAUUUUCUCAAAA